GCCAGCGUAGCUCAGCGGCAGAGCAGCGGUUUUGUAAACCGCCGGUCGUCGGUUCAAAUCCGACCGCUGGCUCCA
rnacentral:tRNA from 1 species